rnacentral:lncRNA from 1 species
UUUCGUCUCUCCUCUUCUCUCUUCUAAAACGACCUAAAUGAUAAGUAUUUAUAGUCUACAAUGCUCUUUGGUCUUUGGGGUUCUGGAAUUGAGGCUGGGAAAAUGAUAUGGGCUUCAGAAAUAGGCUUUCGAACUCAGAGUUGGCUGGUCGCGGUCGGGAUGUGCGUGACCGUGGGGAAUGGAUGGCUGACCACAGUCGGGAAGCUUCUGACCGUGGUGAAAUGGCUGUUGGCCGCG